UAUUGCACAAUGGGCGCAAGCCUGAUGCAGCGACGCCGCGUGAGUGAAGAAGUAUCCCGGUAUGUAAAGCUCUAUCAGCAGGGAACAAAAUGACGGUACCUGAACAAGAAGCGCCUGCUAACUACGUGCCAGCAGCCGCGGUAAUACGUAGGGGGCAAGCGUUAUCCGGAUUUACUGGGUGUAAAGGGAGCGUAGACGGUUAUGCAAGUCUGGAGUGAAAGCCCGGGGCUCAACCCCGGGACUGCUUUGGAAACUGUAAAACUGGAGUGCAGGAGAGGCAGGCGGAAUUCCUAGUGUAGCGGUGAAAUGCGUAGAUAUUAGGAGGAACACCAGUGGCGAAGGCGGCCUGCUGGACUGUAACUGACGUUGAGGCUCGAAGGCGUGGGGAGCAAACA
rnacentral:rRNA from 1 species